AGAGUUUGAUCCUGGCUCAGGACGAACGCUGGCGGCGUGCCUAAUACAUGCAAGUCGAACGAGGUUUGAUCAGUUUGCGGUGGUGCUUGCAUCACCAAUUACCGAUUAAACCGAGUGGCGGACGGGUGAGUAACACGUGGGUAACCUGCCCUUCAGCAGGGGAUAACAUUUGGAAACAGAUGCUAAUACCGUAUAACCACGGAGACCGCAUGGUCUCCGGGUAAAAGACGGCGCAAGCUAUCACUGAGGGAUGGACCCGCGGCGUAUUAGCCAGUUGGUGGGGUAAUGGCCUACCAAAGCGAUGAUACGUAGCCGACCUGAGAGGGUAAUCGGCCACAUUGGGACUGAGACACGGCCCAAACUCCUACGGGAGGCAGCAGUAGGGAAUCUUCCACAAUGGACGCAAGUCUGAUGGAGCAACGCCGCGUGAGUGAAGAAGGCUUUCGGGUCGUAAAACUCUGUUAUUGAAGAAGAACGUGUGUGAGAGUAACUGCUCAUGCAGUGACGGUAUUCAACCAGAAAGUCACGGCUAACUACGUGCCAGCAGCCGCGGUAAUACGUAGGUGGCAAGCGUUGUCCGGAUUUAUUGGGCGUAAAGCGAGUGCAGGCGGUUUUUUAAGUCUGAUGUGAAAGCCUUCGGCUUAACCGAAGAAGUGCAUCGGAAACUGGGAAACUUGAGUGCAGAAGAGGAGAGUGGAACUCCAUGUGUAGCGGUGAAAUGCGUAGAUAUAUGGAAGAACACCAGUGGCGAAAGCGGCUCUCUGGUCUGUAACUGACGCUGAGGCUCGAAAGCGUGGGUAGCAAACAGGAUUAGAUACCCUGCUAGUCCACGCCGUAAACGAUGAAUACUAAGUGUUGGGGGGUUUCCCGCCCCUCAGUGCUGCAGCUAACGCAUUAAGUAUUCCGCCUGGGGAGUACGACCGCAAGGUUGAAACUCAAAGGAAUUGACGGGGGCCCGCACAAGCGGUGGAGCAUGUGGUUUAAUUCGAAGCAACGCGAAGAACCUUACCAGGUCUUGACAUCUUCUGCCAAGCUGAGAGAUCAGCCGUUCCCUUCGGGGACAGAAUGACAGGUGGUGCAUGGUUGUCGUCAGCUCGUGUCGUGAGAUGUUGGGUUAAGUCCCGCAACGAGCGCAACCCUUAUGAUUAGUUGCCAGCAUUCAGUUGGGCACUCUAGUCAGACUGCCGGUGAUAAACCGGAGGAAGGCGGGGAUGACGUCAAAUCAUCAUGCCCCUUAUGACCUGGGCUACACACGUGCUACAAUGGGUGGUACAACGAGCAGCGAGACCGCGAGGUCAAGCGAAUCUCUAAAAACCAUCCUCAGUUCGGAUUGUAGGCUGCAACUCGCCUACAUGAAGCUGGAAUCGCUAGUAAUCGCGGAUCAGCACGCCGCGGUGAAUACGUUCCCGGGCCUUGUACACACCGCCCGUCACACCAUGAGAGUUUGUAACACCCAAAGCCGGUAGGACAACCGCAAGGAGUCAGCCAUCUAAGGUGGGACAAAUGAUUAGGGUGAAGUCGUAACAAGGUAAC
rnacentral:rRNA from 2 species